rnacentral:misc_RNA from 1 species
UUUUUUAAUGAUUUUUCAGAGAAAAUGUUGCGUGUUCUGGGUCGUCAGGCCGCCGGAAGAAUUCCAACAACUACUCAACAAACUUUAUCACAAUAUGAAUCAAUGAUAACAGAUUGUGGCAUGGCACGUAGUUUACAGACAGCAGUAAAACCAUUUAAACCAAAUAGGUCACAGCUUCUCUCUAAAGAGGAUCUAUGGAGUGCACCGUUCUUUCCUACAUCAACAAAUAGAAUUUUAGAGAAAACUCAGAUUUUAUUUAAAAUAAGUCCCAGUGACAAAAUCCACAAAUUAUAUCAGUUCACGCCGUCAGAAAGCAGACUUUCCCUGGUGGAGCCUGGAACGGGAAAAUCUGAGAGAGCUCCAGAAAACGAAAAGAAACCAGAUCUAGAAAAAAUAUCCUUUGAGUUAACCUACGAGUUAACAAAUUUGUUCGUGAGGAAAACAGAUUGGUCCCUCUACCAUCCAAACAUGGUUUUUCAGGAAAACAUAAAAUCAGGGAAGCGUAUUGAAGGAUUGCUGAACUAUAUAAAGUUUGUAAACCUCCUCCGUAUUAUGGCUCACAUUAAGUUUGUUUACGUCAGAUUUCACGUAUUAAACUUGACAAAGCACCCCGAGGACGGAACUAUAAGAAUCAGAUGGCGUAUAGCGGGCCUGGGUGUUACGCGGCUAGUCCUCCGAUAUAUCCCGGACCAGAUGUGGAAACGAGGAAAUAUGGAUAGUGCUUCACCCUCCUGGUAUGAUGGAUAUUCUGUGUUCUAUGUUGGAGGGGAUAACAAGAUAUAUAAACAUAUAGCAGACAAGAGGAUGCCGGAUGAAGAAAAGAAGGAAAAAUCCAUUCAAGAGGGUAUGGUUGAUCAAUUAAAGAAACUGAAGCCUACUCCUGCGCCUAGUCCGGCAUUGUAAAUCCGCGGAAAAAGAAAACAAGAAAAUCCGCCAAUAUUCAUUCUGUGUUAAAGUGUACACUGUACACUGUACAAUAAAGCCCUUCAUGGCACCAAGUUUGGAAAAAUUGUACAAAGUACAAAUAAGGACAGUGUACAACGAAUAUUUUGAAACCUAAAAUUAAGUUAAAUUCAGUCGUUCUUGUCAAAACGAAUCAUUUUAAACUGUCUGAUUCUGAUUCCAAAUAUUGAAUGUGCUUGCAAAUGAUGUUAGAUACAGAUGCAGUUUUUCAUUUGUAGAGCUGUGAUAUUGAAUGUGUGAUUUGAAAUACAAAAUUGGCAUAAUGUUAAAUUAUCAUGUUUUACAGUGUACACCAAGCCAAUGUUAAAUUUACUUUUAUCUAAUAUUGAGCUCCAAGUACAAGAACAGAAAGAAAAAAAUAUCUUUUUUCAG